CGCUGGCGGUGUGCUUCACACAUGCAAGUCGAACGAGGUAGCAAUACCUAGUGGCGGACGGGUGAGUAACGCGUGGGAAUCUGCCUUUAGAUGGGGGAUAACGGGUCGAAAGACUCGCUAAUACCGCAUAUGACGAAAGUUGAAAGGAGUAAUCCGUCUAAAGAUGAGCCCGCGUCCGAUUUGCUAGUUGGUAGAGUAAAAGCCUACCAAGGCGACGAUCGGUAGCUGGUCUGAGAGGAUGAUCAGCCACAAUGGGACUGAGACACGGCCCAUACUCCUACGGGAGGCAGCAGUGGGGAAUUUUACGCAAUGGGCGAAAGCCUGACGUAGCGACACCGCGUGAGCGAAGAAGCCCCUUGGGGUGUAAAGCUCUGUCAGCUGGAACGAAAAAAUGACGGUACCAGCAGAGGAAGCAUCGGCUAACUACGUG
rnacentral:rRNA from 1 species